rnacentral:lncRNA from 1 species
CUUAACUGUGAUAAUGUUUAACUUAAAAAUUGGGCACAGUAAGAGACUAACAACAGGAACUGGAGCCAAAAAGUGUGCAAGCCUUUAAUCCCAGCACUCAGGAGGCAGAGGCAGGCGGAUCUCUGUGAAUUCAAGGCCAGCCUGGUCGGUGGAGUGAGAUCCAGGACAACUAGAGUUGCAUAGUGAGAUCUUGUCAAAAAAGAAAGAAAGAAAGAAAGAAAGAAAGAAAGGAAGGAAGAAAGGAAGAAAUAGAGAGAGAAAGAGAGAAAGAAGCCAAAGAGGCUGGCAGGCUAUUAGGGUUUAAUAACAAACUGCCUUCCUUUCAUUUUUUCUUUAGAUGAUAUCUUGCAAUGUUACACCUAGGUUAGACUCAAACUCGUGGGCUCAAGUGAUCCUCCCACCCCUCCCUUUCCGGUAGCUGGGAACACACUAGUGUCACCACUCAGGCAUCUCCUUUGCCUUUGUUCACCAUAACUCUAAAAAUUUCUAUGUUGGGGCCUGGGCCAUCGCUCAACUGUCAGCUUGCUCACCUAGCAUGCAUGAGGCACUGGAUUCAAGCCUCGAACCACAUCCUGCAGCACCAGAGCUUCAGGUCCAAAGCACUGGUAUCAUCUCUGACUCAGGGCCAUGUUAGUCCUAGCCCCAGGAGCAACCCCAAGCAACAAGGCAGAAAACAGUGAAGAACCUCGUAUCCUUGCCCUUGCGCCUGGGUGUGUUCUGUGGAAUCUCUCAUGGCACUGCCUCUGCUCCCCAGGGCAGGGGAAAACAACGGUGGGCUCUGACAUACCUCUGCGCAUUCCACACAGUGGCUGUCCUCUGCAGAAUCCUUGGAAACAUUUGACUGGCAAAGGAUUUGAAACAAGCAGUUCACUACUAUAAUGACUUUCCAGGAAUUCCUCUGAAGGUGGAGAGAUGGCCAGGAAACCCACACGCAGCUAACACACCAAAGGAUGAAGCAAGAGUGCUGGAAUGUAGCUUGGUAUUAAAGGAUGUGCCUGAUGCCUGGGGUGUGCAAGGUCCUGUGUUUGAUUACAGCCAAGAGCUGGGGGGGGGGGUGUCACUAAUAAAACCUGUUACUUUGAUCUUCGAGGUAGUCA